CCCUUAGAUGUUCUGGGCUGCACGCGCGCUACACUGACGCACGCAACAGGUGCCUGCUCCGAGAGGACUGGGUAAUCAUUUGAGUGUGCGUCGUGAUGGGGAUAGAAUAUUGUAAUUAUUACUCUUCAACGAGGAAUUCCUAGUAAGCGCCAGUCAGCAGCUUGCGCUGAUUACGUCCCUGCCCUUUGUACACACCGCCCGUCGCUCCUACCGAUGGGUGAUCCGGUGAAUGAUUCGGACUUCAGCGGCUCCCCUGGGGUGCGCCGGAGAAAGUUUUGUGAACCUUAUCACUUGGAGGAAGGAGAAGUCGUAGCA
rnacentral:rRNA from 1 species